GCCAUGCUUCGUGCAUCGUAGUGUGGACCAAACUUGUUUUUAUACUGCAUGAUCUCUUCCACAGGUCAUGAAUUACAAAGAGAUUGCAUGUCAUACUUUAAGGAGAGGAAAAGUCACAUCCAAAAGCACAUCCUGGAGUCACCAGGAAAAAUCACCACAUUCCAGACUAUUUCCCAUGAAAGGUUCCCCUGAAGAUUUGAACAAUAGCUGGAGUGAAGCCAGCUGGCAGCACAUCAAAGAAAUACAACUGGCAGCUAAUGCGUACAGGGGCACAAACCAAAGCCAUUCUGCCAAGCCCACUACAAGACUGUAUUAAAAUCCCUUGAGCUGCACCUUUCACAUUUUCAGGCUGACAGAAGGAAUCACAGAACCAUUUGGGUUGGAAAAGACCUUUAAGAUCACCGAGUCCAACUGCAAACCUGAAAGCUGUGAAUGCCCUGGCAAAAGGAACCUGUGCCUGAGCACCCCGAGGAAUGGUUACAGCAAGGGCUGAGACUCCCAGCGAGACGUGCCCUGCACAAGAGCCAGGCUGAGCCCAGAGGUGUUGGAUCUCCGCGGGAACAGACGCGGCUGCUCCACGAGGUGGGGCUGUCAGCUCAUCCCACGCCUGCCCGGGAGCCUGGGCAGAGAGAGCCGAGAUAACCUGCUUUACGGAAACCCAGCGCACGGACGGGCUUUGUGCCCGACUGACAGCCGCUUUCCCUCGGCAAUCUCCCAGGCAUCGCUUGUCUUUCCCAGUACUGUCAUGCAAUAGCUCCACGUCCAGACGUUCAAGCUCUCUGCUACUAAGGGCUCACCCCUAAAAUUAAUCUGUCACCUAGCAUCUGGAUAAGUUCCUAGCGCAAAGGAUAACUUAAUUAUCAGGGGAAGAAAGGAAACAUUAUAAAAGAAAAGAAAGAAAAGUGGCAUUUGCUGCUCUCAUGUUUGUGCAGCAGUUUCCUAAGCUGCCGUAUUAGCUUUGCUUUUGCUGCACUACUGCCUAGCAGUACUUGCAAACCAGUAUGUAGCCUUAAUGUACCUCCAGUUUAAUCCCAGUAGCACAUCUUCCCAUCUUCCCUCAUCUUCUGAAGGCACUGAUACUGCAAGUGCACACGUAUCUCACAGUCACUGCCCACCGACUUCCCUGAGCUUUGUGGGAAAAACUGCGCGUGAAAAACUGAACAUGUCACAGCAGAGGCAGGGGGGAGCUUAAGGCAGUCAGUCCUUACCAUUUCAACUAAACAGUCUAUCAACAGAAACUCCCAAAACCCAUUCGCAGUCAGCUGAUAGCAACUACAUUAAUAGAAAGUAAAUGAUACGAGGUUAUCUGACAGGAG
rnacentral:lncRNA from 1 species